UACGUAGGGGGCGAGCGUUGUCCGGAUUUAUUGGGCGUAAAGAGCUCGUAGGCGGUUUGGCAAGUCGGGUGUGAAAACUCCGGGCUCAACUCGGAGACGCCACUCGAUACUGCUAUGACUCGAGUCCGGUAGGGGAGUGCGGAAUUCCUGGUGUAGCGGUGAAAUGCGCAGAUAUCAGGAGGAACACCGGUGGCGAAGGCGGCACUCUGGGCCGGAACUGACGCUGAGGCGCGAAAGCGUGGGGAGCGAACAGG
rnacentral:rRNA from 1 species